UGCAGGGUCAAGGCUGCACAGGAUUGCCUCCCCCUCUCAGGGUAAUAUUUGACUUCAUGUGGGAGGAGGCUAUGAGAAGAGCCUGGGGAGCCGCUCCAUGUUCAGAUCAGGUGCCGAUCUGACCCCUCAGAGGAAGGACGACCCUGAGCUGUGCAGGCCGUCGGGCCAUAUUGCCAUGGAUUCUUCUGCUGGAACAUGGUGCUUCACUUCAGUGCGUCAGCUCUGAAUAGACGAUGGGACGCCGCUAUUUUCAAUGAGCGAGACUGGAGGCCGAUUGUAGCACUUCGUAAUCAGCCUCAUGCAAUGGAUACUGGGAAUGCACAACAUUGCACAGGUGCCAAGUCUCCAAUUUGUGAUACGAAAGAGACUUCUUGUCGUAACUGUUGCAGAAGUAGUUUAUAGCAUCAGGGUUAGAAAGAAAAAGUCAUUCACAAAUCAUCGUAGACAUUUUGAUGUAUGAAAUUAUUCCUCAUUCUCAAAAUGACGGACUAUAAUGUAUAGCAUGGACAAUAGAUUCCCACUUUCCAUACGGUGAACCAGUUUCUGGAUUUUUAGGGAGCUUCCUCUUCAAACUUUGCAGCACAGUCCUUCAAGGCUGUAGGUUUAUGACGUCAUUAUUUGUGCUCAGAAGCUCAAUCUUUACUUCUGCAGGCAUGUUAUGAGAGAAAUCCUGGCCUCCUGGCUUCUGCCCUCAGCUGUCAGUAACUGGAAUCUGUCACUGCAAAGAAUCAAAGAGCAGGGCUGAUCCUGUUGCUGCCCCCUGGUGGCAGGGAAGACUGCACACCAGAUCAGGUUGCACUGUCUCAGAGUACAGAUAUGAUGGGUUGCUGAUCUCUCUGAAUACAUAGGUGAAUUCAUGGCUUUUUGAUUGAUUACCCUUUUGAAUUUUAAUGGUUGCUGUGUUCCAUAACAAAAUAUGAGCUGCAUGCACAGAACAGCAUGAACAGUACAACAGGACCAAGUAGCUGAUAGAAGUGUUUUGUAAGUUGCCCAGGUCUUUUACCUUAUCACUUAUCUUGCUUCUAUUAGAAGGGUCUGUAUGUUUUGUUUCCUGUUCAUUGGUGUUUUUAAUGCAAUCACAGAAUUCUGGAAUAGGGAGGAAUAUUUGAACCACUGACAACAGUACCUGCAGGGGGGAAAGAAGGGGAUCAGAAAUAUGCAUGACAGAUAGGAAACUGUCCAGGUGUAAUUAUAUGAAAGCCUGCCACAAUCAGAUCUACAUUUAUUUUUUUUCAGACAUUCAGCAGGUAAUUCUGACACCCUGCAAAACGUGGUGUUCCAAAAACAGAUGCUAUUCAAAUGAUCCUGCCACUUUUCAAUUCCCAGGGUUGGGCAAUAAACUGUUGCACAAUCA